rnacentral:rRNA from 1 species
CUAGCGGUGCGCCUAAUACAUGCAAGUCGAGCGAUAUAGCGGCGAACGGGUGAGUACACGUUGGAACCUGCCCCGGACUCAGGGAUAGCCCGCCGAAAGGUGGAUUAAUACCGGAUAGUCCCGCAAGGGUAAAGCUUUUGCGGUCCGGGAGGGGCCUGCGUAGUAUCAGCUUGUUGGUAGGGUAAUGGCCUACCAAGGCUACGACGCUUAGCUGGUCUGAGAGGAUGAUCAGCCACAAUGGAACUGAGACACGGUCCAUACUCCUACGGGAGGCAGCAGUAGGGAAUCUUCCGCAAUGGGCGAAAGCCUGACGGAGCGACACCGCGUGGAGGACGAAGGUCUUUUGAUUGUAAACUCCUUUUCUGAGGGAAUAAAUGAUGAAGGUACCUCAGGAAUAAGCACCGGCUAACUACGUGCCAGCAGCCGCGGUAAUACGUAGGGUGCAAGCGUUAUCCGGAAUUAUUGGGCGUAAAGCGUGCGAAGGCUGUUAGUAAGUUUGAGGUUAAAUCUGGUGGCUCAACCAUCAAAUCGUCUCAAAAACUACUAAACUAGAGAAUGAUAGAGGCAACUGGAAUUCUGCGUGUAGGGGUAAAAUCCGUUGAUAUGCAGAGGAACACCAAAAGCGAAGGCAGGUUGCUGGGUCAUUUCUGACGCUGUUGCACGGAAAGCGUGGGGAGCGAACAGGAUUAGAUACCCUGGUAG